UAAUAAGUGUUUUAUGGCACUUUUUAAAUCCAUAUCCACCUUGUGUGCAAUGUCAGUCGAUCUUCUUCAUGGAGAUCGACCAAACAUCAACCUUUAUUUUCUAACUCUUUGUCUGAAAAAUAUUAUGAAUAAACAAUUCAAAAUA
rnacentral:misc_RNA from 1 species